CAGCAGCCGCGGGAACACGGAGGGAGCUAGCGUUAUUCGGAAUUACUGGGCGUAAAGCGCACGUAGGCGGCUUUGUAAGUUAGAGGUGAAAGCCUGGAGCUCAACUCCAGAAUUGCCUUUAAGACUGCAUCGCUUGAAUCCAGGAGAGGUGAGUGGAAUUCCGAGUGUAGAGGUGAAAUUCGUAGAUAUUCGGAAGAACACCAGUGGCGAAGGCGGCUCACUGGACUGGUAUUGACGCUGAGGUGCGAAAGCGUGGGGAGCAAACAGGAUUAGAUACCCCAGUAGUCCCUGUCUCUUAUAC
rnacentral:rRNA from 1 species